rnacentral:rRNA from 1 species
ACCUUAGAUGUUCUGGGCCGCACGCGCGCUACACUGAUGCAUUCAACAAGCCUAGCCUUGACCGAGAGGUCCGGGUAAUCUUUGAAACUGCAUCGUGAUGGGGCUAGAUUAUUGCAAUUAUUAAUCUUCAACGAGGAAUGCCUAGUAAGCGUGAUUCAUCAAAUCGCGUUGAUUACGUCCCUGCCCUUUGUACACACCGCCCGUCGCUCCUACCGAUUGAAUGUGUUGGUGAGGAGCUCGGAUUGGCAGCAGUUGGUGGUUCGCCACCGGCUAUUGCUGAGAAGUCCUCCAAACCGCCCCAUUUAGAGGAAGGAGAAGUCGUAACA